UUUAACUGAAGAGUUUGAUCAUGGCUCAGAUUGAACGCUGGCGGCAGGCUUAACACAUGCAAGUCGAGCGGGGGAAGGUAGCUUGCUACUGGACCUAGCGGCGGACGGGUGAGUAAUGCUUAGGAAUCUGCCUAUUAGUGGGGGACAACAUCUCGAAAGGGAUGCUAAUACCGCAUACGUCCUACGGGAGAAAGCAGGGGAUCUUCGGACCUUGCGCUAAUAGAUGAGCCUAAGUCGGAUUAGCUAGUUGGUGGGGUAAAGGCCUACCAAGGCGACGAUCUGUAGCGGGUCUGAGAGGAUGAUCCGCCACACUGGGACUGAGACACGGCCCAGACUCCUACGGGAGGCAGCAGUGGGGAAUAUUGGACAAUGGGGGGAACCCUGAUCCAGCCAUGCCGCGUGUGUGAAGAAGGCCUUAUGGUUGUAAAGCACUUUAAGCGAGGAGGAGGCUACUUUAGUUAAUACCUAGAGAUAGUGGACGUUACUCGCAGAAUAAGCACCGGCUAACUCUGUGCCAGCAGCCGCGGUAAUACAGAGGGUGCGAGCGUUAAUCGGAUUUACUGGGCGUAAAGCGUGCGUAGGCGGCUUAUUAAGUCGGAUGUGAAAUCCCCGAGCUUAACUUGGGAAUUGCAUUCGAUACUGGUGAGCUAGAGUAUGGG
rnacentral:rRNA from 1 species